GCCCAGGGCUACACACGUGCUACAAUGGCCAGGACAAAGCGCAGCGAGGCCGCGAGGCGGAGCGAAUCGCAAAAACCUGGUCCAAGUUCGGAUUGCAGUCUGUAACUCGACUGCAUGAAGCCGGAAUCGCUAGUAAUCGUGGAUCAGCUACGCGACGGUGAAUACGUCCCCGGGCCUUGUACACACCGCCCGUCACGCCAUGGGAGUCGGGAGCGCCCGAAGUCAGUGACCCAACCCGCAAGGGAGGGAGCCGCCGAAGGCGAGCUCGGUGACUGGGGCGAAGUCGUAACAAGGUAGCC
rnacentral:rRNA from 1 species